GCCGGGUGUGGUGGCGCACACUUGUAAUCCCAGCAGGAGGCUGAGCAGGAGGACCAUGAGUUCAAAGCCGGCCUCAGCAAUGGCCAGGUGCUAAGCAACUCAGUGAGACCCUGUCUCUA
rnacentral:sRNA from 1 species